UACGGGGGGGGUAAGCGUUGUUCGGAAUUACUGGGCGUAAAGGGCUCGUAGGCGGCCAACUAAGUCAGACGUGAAAUCCCUCAGCUUAACUGGGGAACUGCGUCUGAUACUGGAUGGCUUGGAUCGGGAGAGGAAUGCGGAAUUCCAGGUGUAGCGGUGAAAUGCGUAGAUAUCUGGAGGAACACCGGUGGCGAAGGCGGCAUUCUGGACCGAUAUUGACGCUGAGGCGCGAAAGCCAGGGGAGCAAAGCGGG
rnacentral:rRNA from 1 species